AGAAUCAACGCUGGCGGCGUGCCUAACACAUGCAAGCCGCACGAGAAAGGGGAGCAAUCCCUGAGUACAGUGGCGCACGGGUGAGUAACACGUGAAUAAUCUACCUCCGAGUGGGGAAUAACUGAGAGAAAUCUUAGCUAAUACCGCAUAAUACCCACGGGUCAAAGCAGCAAUGCGCUUGGAGAGGAGUUCGCGGCAGAUUAGUUAGUUGGCGGGUAAUGGCCCACCAAGACGAUGAUCUGUA
rnacentral:rRNA from 1 species